UUACGACCAUAUCAUGCUUGAACCAUCGAUUCUCGUAAGAUCACCGAAGUUAAGCAAUGCCGAGUGUGGUCUGUACCUAGAUGGGUAACCGCUUGGGAAUACUAGAUGCUGUAAG